UUUGUCAUUGUUUCUAGCUCAAUACCUGCUUGUGGUUUUCUAAAACAAACUAGUUAAAGGGACAGUAAACUUAAAUCUUGCUCUGCCUCUGAGGAAGUUUUGCCUGUUACGUUAAUGCUCCUACCUCAGCCUGGAAACAGAAGUUAAGACCCUUGUCUUUUCCUACCUGCAUGCUAGCCAAGCCGUUCCAGGGUACUCCUUUUCUGAGUGAUGAGUUGAGGAAGAGGAGAGCAGGUAUGUUGGAAAGACACUGUCAUGUACUCACUUUUGCGUCCACAUCUGUAACAAAUAUGGCAGCAUCCUGGCUUUGCUGACAGUGGAUCUACCCAACUGAGAAGCUGGAAUUAAGUGUUUCAACCAGACUGUUCCUGUUCCUGUUUCAGUUCUUACACCACCUGCAUCAUCGUAUUAGUUGGGCACCUUUCAG
rnacentral:lncRNA from 1 species